CAGGAGAUGGUUCACAGGUGGCCUUUUUCUUCCUCCUGCCCUUCCAAAUCUGUGGUGCUGCUGAGUUUUAAAGGACAAGCUGCGAGAGGCACCUAAAAUGACAUCACUGGAUUCUAUUAGCCUUUGAGAUAAUUCUUCUAAUAUUUCUAACCUUUCCAAUUGCAGUAAAUUUACCUGGGCUUUGUUGUGCUUUGAGGUUUUUUAUUAGAUUUCACGUAAAACCACAUGAACUCCUUUGGUUCUGUUUGUCCCUGCUACCAACAGCACUUCAUGGUCACCUGUUGUACUCCUUCCCACAGCUGGCAGCAUGGCAAACACGGGCAACAGCCUGAAACACCUCCCUCCCUGCCUGUGCCUAAAGUGCUGCGGGAAAUGCUCUCAGCUGUGGUAGAGUCCUUUGCUUUUCCCACAGCUGCUGACCCUUUCUGGAGUUUGGAGAGGCCUUUUGGCUGUGGCAGUGAGGAAUGCUGGCAGCGUGUGGGCUGUGGAUAGCCGGGCAGGUCUUUGCUCCUGCCGGGUGUACAAUGAGACCGAGCACAGAGACAAUGCCAAGGGGGGAGCGCUGAGCUGCCUCCAUGGCUCUGGGUGGGCGCUGCGCUCAGACUGUGGGGGACAGCUGGGGACAGGCACAGGCUGUCCCUGCAUCCGUCACCGCUGCCUGCUGGCACCAGAGGGGGAACAAUUCCAAGGGACAUGCGGAAACUCCCUCAGCAUCAGCCGGGGACUGCAAGCACAGGCAUGAUGUGCUGGGCUCCUCACCUUGUCACCUGCGCCUGCUGUUUGAGGAUCCAUCUUCUGUGUGGGUGGCUCAGAAAGCCCCAGCCUCAGGAGCUGCCCCAAGUGUGUCAUUCCGAGCUCUGGACAACGGAUGGCUGCCAAAGCUCCUCAGAACGGUGAGGCUGACGAGUGCUAUUCCACAUGGAGCUGGCUGCCUUUGGCUCACCCUGGGGCUGCCAGCUCUCCACAGAUCCAGCACUUCUGCUCUGGUGAGACUCCUGAUUCGGGCAGCACUCGGUGACUGACGGCUGCAGCCCAGGAUGGUCCCCUCCCACCUCGGGAAAAUAUUCCACAGGAGACCUGCCAAAGGAAAGCCCUGCUCCUGUCAAUGACUUGUGAAGAGCGAUUCCUCAUUUCUGAGAUCCCUGCCAGGAACGGGAGAUGUACCAAGAGUUUCUAAGUUCCUCAGGCAAUCAGAACAUGCCCCGAGCCCCUUCUGCAAUCGAUGUCCUCCUGAGGAUGAUGUGUCCCCACUCGCAGACUGAUCUCAGGAAGGACAGAUCAAUUCUGCAGUGAGUCCUGGUGCUCCUGUGAACAAUCAGCACUCCUGGUUCCCAGGGCUCUUCCUUUUCAGCAAGGCCUGAACACAUCAAGUCGCUCCUGCAUGUUCCCUGCGGUAUUUGGCUGUCUCAAGACAGACAAGGGGAGCUUCAAAACUUUCUGGAUUGAUUCAGCAGGAGACUCAUGGGAGAUGGAAAUGCUUUGACAGCAAGCGCUCUCUACAGGGUCCAGCCACGGUGGGACAGGAAAAGUCUCCUCCUCCCACCUUACUUUUCUUUGCUCUGCUGUAAACCUUCCCUCUCUCCCCAUCUCCGGGAGUCAGCACCCACAUCCCUUCGUGCACAGGAAAGGAAAAAAGGAGAGGAAGGUCUGGCUCCCAGUCCCUCCAGAGACAGAGUUUGAGUCGCGUACAUGCGGAAUUCAGUGAGCCGAGAUCUUCGCUUUCAUCAGAUGUGUCUCUUCAGAAACAGGCUGACACCCUGGGCACCAAAAGAGAUCACAGGAGCUACAGCACAAAGCAGGCUCUGCCACAGCUGCAGGCAGGAGUCUGUCAGGGAGAGUGAGGGAGCAAGAAGGGUGCUGAUCUAACAGACAAAGGGGGAAGGAAGGAAGAGUGAAAAGUGGAAGAAACUGGAAGAGACUUCAAGGGACACAGCGCUGUUUGAUGGGGCAGAAGCUGAGAGGCAAGUGAGCUGCUGUGCAGGGUGAUUGCAUUCUUCCAAGAUGAUUUGUAAAAGGGGAAAAGUUGUAGAUUAAACGCUUUGAUUGGCCUUUAUCUCACUCUGCCUGUGCACUUGUGUCAUUCAUUUCAUGUAAUAACCUCUACUAAACAGUCAGAGGCUGCAGUAUAAUUUUGUUGACCUGAAAUUAUGGCAAAAAGCUGCAGUUGUGGAAUUUGGAGCUGGAAUAGUGCCUAACUGGCUGAAGGGCAAAAUAAAGAAGUAAAGAUCAAUGACAGCUCUUCAUGUCACGUGAAAAGUCAAGGCUCAUGCAUCAGGGAACUUCAAAACAAUCAGAUAGAUGGAAGUUCAGCUUAUGUCUCAAUCCUAAAAUUGCAUUAAAAUUAAACUCCCUGUUUCUAAUUGUCAUUCAGUGGAGCUUAGAUGAACCUCAGAUUUUAGGUGUUGCACGAUGGGAGCUAUGGGUAAUGAUUACACUGCAAUGUGAAGUGCCAAAAAUGGGAAAUGGUGGCAGUUUUGGGGGCUCUUUCUGCUUUCUUUCCUUUUUAUUCCUGUCUAUCCAACAUGGCAGAAAUCUAACUGAGUAGCAGGAAGGCAACCUCCGUUAUGUUGGCAAGUGACGGAAAAAAAAAGGUGAAUCUUUCAGGCUUUGGAGGAGCCGAUUCAGGAGAAAAACUGUGCCUGCAAUACAAAGCCAAAAGUUAUCAACCAUCCCGAGAGAUGUUUUCACAAAUCAACAAAGAACACAAGCCAGGAAAAAAAAAGAGCAUUGCUCUGGUCUGUGUCCCUAAGAUGGGAAACUGAAAAGCCACGAGCAUAGAGCAGGUAGGAGCUGGUUGUCAGAGGAAUGUCAGCUUCCAGCAGAACAGGAAUAACUCAGAAGUCUGGGGAUGAGUCUCUGCUGCGACUGCAGCAGAAAUGGGGCUUCUCCAGAUCUGCCUAAGACCCAGAACUGACACGAGAUGAGGCUCAACUUGAAUAAUUGUCUUAGUUCCUUCUUUUGUCCUUUCACCCCAAAUAUGUUUAGCUUGUAUUUUGCUUCUGCAUGCUUCUAUAAAUCCUCAGAGGAUCCAUCUUGGAAGCACUUCCAGGAUGGAAAUGCUCUGACCUUUAGAUGCUGACAGGUGAGGUGCAUAUCCUCGUGUUCUGUAUUACUGACAGUAACGGCAGUGCUUCCUCUUUUUUUUUGCUCAUAGUCUCAUUUUUAGGUGUUUGUCUGACUUCAGGACAUAGUUCCCCUCCUGUAAAACAGAAUAUCUAUGCCAGUGCUUGCAUUCCAGGGAUCUGGAUGCAGUACCACAUAUUGAUGAGCGCGUGACACAGUUACCCCAGUGUCUGCAGUGGCACCCAUCCAAACGGAGAGCUGCCCAGUCCCCUGCAGCACAAGGCCGGGAAUGCACCCACCGAGGCAGGAGCCCACGCACGGCAGGACUGCUCAGGCAGCUCCCGUCUCCUGGGCUCAGGGGUGAUUCCUUUUCCAGAGCAGCUCUGUGCCGGACCUGGCUUCUGCAGAUGGUGUGGCCGGUGCCACCUGGUGCGUGGCAGCUUUCCAGGGGGAGUCUCCUGUGAUGAGGACUGCACAGCACUGCCACUCAUCCCACUCAGCACUUGGACAAAAUGUGGGACUGAACUCCAGAGGUAGGAACCAGUCCUUCAUUAUUUCAUUGUCUGAAACUUCGUCCUUGGAGCGCGUUCAGGGAAGGAUGGGAGACAGACCUUUUCACCUUUCUGGUUUUGUCUCUUUCCAUGGUGCAUCAUAGCCAUCCCUUCCACAGCUGAACCAGUGGGUCUGGAGUUUCUGAGAGGAAUUCAACAGAACUCUUUUUCAAUCUUUUGUCCCCCUUUUGGAGCAAUCCAUCUGAAAACAUUUCUGUAAAAUUUCCUUUGAGUUCCUGAUGCUGCUCAGGCACAUCAGACUGGCACAAAAGCCCCUCAGUAACGUCCCCAGCCCCGGCGGCGUGGCUGAGCUCUCUGAACUCCAGCCCUGCACUGUCACACCACAAUUACAUUGCAAUUACAGAUGGAAUUGUGGCAGGCUCUAGGCCACUGGCUCUGAAUCCUCCUGCUCAGGGCUGACCGUGGCAUUUGUCUGUAUUUCCUGUCCCUGGAGCUGAUCACUCCGUGCUUCCUAAGGGACCAAGCGCUCGUUCUCCACAGCUCCUUGGAGCAGAGGCUGCUCGCCCACGCUGAGAGAGGUGGGUGAGUGAGACUGUGUUAUGUCUCCAGGAGCAGGUAUGCUGCUGGAUGGACAUUUCUGUUCCAGCACACUUCCAUAUGGAGAGAAAUAAAGAGGAAAAAAGGAAAAGGAGGGAAGAGCCAGAAGGCAGCAUUGAAAUGCCAGUGUGGCCACCAAAGAGGUAAGGGAAUGAAACCCCGAGAGGGAGCAGAGGAAGGUCGCUGCUGCCAGGGACAGCAACACCAGAUGGCCGCAAGCACAAAUCAGGAAUUCUGCAGACGGGAGUGUUGCUCUCAGCCUUUGUGUUGUGUAGCACAGUUUGCAUCGCAGUUUAUCCUCACGGCCACUGGAAGGUUGGUCGGGGGCCAGACUGCCCUAAAGGGAGAGCAUUUUAAUGUGCACAUGCAGGGGCUGUUCAGAGGUACUGCCGGCAUUAAAGCUGCUCUGAUCAGUUCUCUGUGCUGGGAUGACAGCAGCCAUCAAAGAGCCACCUGAGGAUCCCUUCCACCCGAGAUGCAAAUGCCCUCUCCCUCUCCUUGUGCAAUCCUAAAGCUGCCACGUACAUUCCCUGCAAGGGGCUUGGGCACUGCUUACACUUGGAUUUCACUGCAUUUCCGUGCCGGGACAAAACUUCCGGUGGCCAGGUGAGAACAUUUUGGCUUUAAAUAAGAAGAGACAUUUCCCAGUGACUGUGAGGAGACACAGAACAGACACUGACUGCUCGUGUGUGCCCUGGCCAGAAUACAGGAGCUGGGCUUAGUGGUGCUUGCCAGGGAACGUGCCCAGAUUCACACCUGAGACACGAGGGCGUUCCCGGCCCUUCCGCCUCCCUGCAGAAAAGCUGGUGCUGCACAAAGAGCACUCGGGCAAACUGCUGUUCCUGUUCGUGCUGGUUCUACAGAACUGAACCUCCAGCAUUCCACAUUCUGUUUAACUUCACCACCUCUGGAGCGUUUCUUGUGCUGCACUGCAUUUAUUUUCUGGACAGGCUCAAUUCUGCUGGCACAGGCCAUAAAGAUGAUGAAAGAAAGCUUAUGAUAGCAGAGCAGGAAACAAAUGACACUUGGGCAUUUGUCAUGGAUCCUUGAAAAAGUAGGUGAGCCCCAGGCUGACUUUUGGAUUUAUCUCUGCUGGUUGUACUCGUGCGUUAGGGUGUUCCCAAAGAACCCUAAAGAAAGGAAUUCUCUGUUUUGCCUCCCACUUAUGGAAGGGGCAAAGAAGAACAAGAUGAAAUAUCAGAUUGAAUAGCUUAAAAAACGGAUAAACCUGUAGGAGAAAGAUGUUUUCUGCUGCACUGUUGGUCAUAAACAAAUUUAAGAUUUUGAAAAGCCCCACAACAACUUUAGUAGCCUUUGCCAGAAAUGAGACAGACCCAGUAAUCCUGAGGCAAUCAUUCCUUCAGUCUUUCUGCACUCUGAAGGCAGCUGAAUUAACGCAGAAAGCAGAGCUGUCACACACCCUGCAGCCAGCAGCUCCCAAAAUUAUGCCAACCCUCAUUGGUUCAGUUUACUGCAAAUGCUGCCCUGAAGCAGCAAAGGUGACUCUGCCCUUCUUGAGGGCUUUUACCUCGGGCUGAGGUUUGGUUCUGCCUGGCUUCCUCAGCGGUGCAGCUGCAGAGCAAGGGAGAGCAGUGCCAAGGCCUCCUCGAUCCUGGAGCCAUCUGAGCUCGUUCCUUGGGCAGAGAGCAAUCCUGACCCCAGCCGCAGCCUCCUACAGCCGCAGCCUCCUACAGCCACAGGGCACAGAGCACCCGGCUCUGCCCCGAGCCUCCCGGAGGUGUUUGCUCAUGCAGAACGCUUGGGCCCCUUCCGUGAGCUGCUAAGAAGAACUGAAGGUGCCACAUGGUGGGCACUGUCCCCUCCUCCCCGUAAGGGUCCCCCCAGGAUGGCUGAGGGUCACAGAGAAAUACUGCUGGAAUGGGGCGUCUCCCAAAGGGGCGCUCACAACACAUCCCAGCGCUUCCUGUCACUUUUUAUUCAGGGCGAGCAUGAAAAUUUCUGGGAUGGACAAGGAAAAGCGAUACACACAAUCCAAGAGAAAUGGCCCUGAACAGCCCUGCUGAGAAAGCAGAUCCCGUGUGACCGACUGGAGGUGGAAGCUCAUUCCCAAGACAUCAAAUCAAAGAGCCAAAGCAGAUCCUGAUCUCACCGGGAUACUGAGAUGGAAAAAUCCCAUGCUCGAGAUCAUUUCCAAGGAAAAGAAGAGGCAGGAGGACAGGUGGGUGGGUGUAUUGGUAACUCCACUGAACGCAGUUAAAGAAGCCCCAAAGCACAGUCGUCUUCAGGAAUAUAUUUGAGGAGAGACAGCCACAAAUACCUGGAGAACAUUUACCAAGUGCUUGACAAAUGGAAAGCUGGAUCUUUCUCAGAGUGCCAUGGGUGCUGUGCAGCCAGACCUGGAGCACCAGGGUGACCCAUCUCCCUCAGGAGUCCUGCUUUCAUCCUGCAGUGUGCAUAUUCCUUGGAAAACAGCCGGAAAAGAACCUGAGCGGGGCCCAGACUGGGGGCUGCCCCUUCCAGGGGAUUACGUGUCCGCUCUGUUGGAAUUGCUAAUUGCUGAGGCACUAAUUGGCUUUGAGUAGCUCAGCAGUGUGCCUGGGGAGAGUCCUGCUGAGCGGAUCUGGAGCGGUGAAGAUCCAAGCGCUGCGCUGAGCCCCUGGAGAGCAGCUGUUCCCUCAGAGCAGAUCCCUGGGCUGCAGGCUCUGCUUUCCUGCCGCUCCGCACCUUGGCAGAGACCCUUUUCCCCUCUGUUUCCCCCAGGGUGGAGCUGGAGCUGGCAGUUCAGUGAAGAGCUGGUCGGGAUGCUGCAGUGUCUGCAGAGGAAAGGAGAACUGGCCCCAGGAGCGCAGGAGCCAUCUCCAGAGCAGAGCUGGCACGGAGGCGCUGCCUGCCUGCGGCUGGGAGUGCUGGGAGCCGUUCCGUGGCAGCGGCUCAUUGAUGUUAUUCAUUUAUUUCACUUUUUCUCUCUUUUUACUGUUUGUUCACCCCUUUCUUUCCCCUUUCUAAAACACUUCUUUUCUGCUGUGGGGGUUUUUCCCUUCUCUCACCCUCACUGCUUUCCUGUCUGUUUUUAGUUUUUCUUGCUUCCCUAUCUUUUGCUUCUCCUGACCAGAAGCAGCUGGGGCAGCUGCACAGCCGGGGCUGCAGGCCCCUCCUGGCUGGUGCUGCUGCCGGGGAGCCGACUGCUCUACGGGAUGUGCUCCUUCCUAAGUUCAAGGCUUGGGGCUCUCUGGCGCCGUGUUUAAUGGAAAAAAGGUUGCGUGGCAUUGCUAAGUUUGAUGGUGGUGUUUUAUGGAACGGGCCAAGCCCAGAUUGCCCAGGAAGCAGCACUCUGGCUUGGGGUUCCCUGUGCCACGGACAGCCCCAGAGCCGUGCAGCACAGGGAGAAGCCGUUCCUGAGCCACUUCUGAUGAAGUAACCAAGUUGAAAUUGGAAGAAAUGAGAAGUCCCGACUGAAGCUGACGUAAAAGCAAGUUGUGAUCGGUGUUGAGAUCCUCCUGCU